AUUGAACGCUGGCGGCAUGCCUUACACAUGCAAGUCGAACGGUAACAGGUCUUCGGAUGCUGACGAGUGGCGAACGGGUGAGUAAUACAUCGGAACGUGCCCGAUCGUGGGGGAUAACGAGGCGAAAGCUUUGCUAAUACCGCAUACGAUCUACGGAUGAAAGCGGGGGAUCUUCGGACCUCGCGCGGACGGAGCGGCCGAUGGCAGAUUAGGUAGUUGGUGGGAUAAAAGCUUACCAAGCCGACGAUCUGUAGCUGGUCUGAGAGGAUGAUCAGCCACAUUGGGACUGAGACACGGCCCAGACUCCUACGGGAGGCAGCAGUGGGGAAUUUUGGACAAUGGGCGAAGGCCUGAUCCAGCCAUGCCGCGUGCAGGAUGAAGGCCUUUGGGUUGUAAACUGCUUUUGUACGGAACGAAAAGCCUCUUUCUAAUAAAGAGGGGUCAUGACGGUACCGUAAGAAUAAGCACCGGCUAACUACGUG
rnacentral:rRNA from 1 species